UACAGAGGUCUCAAGCGUUGUUCGGAUUCAUUGGGCGUAAAGCGUGCGCAGGCGGUUUUGUAAGCCGGAUGUGAAAUCCCCGGGCUUAACCUGGGAAUGGCAUUCGGGACUGCAAGGCUGGAGUGCGGCAGAGGAGACUGGAAUUCCUGGUGUAGCAGUGAAAUGCGUAGAUAUCAGGAGGAACACCGAUGGCGAAGGCAGGUCUCUGGACAGUUCCUGACACUGAGACACGAAGGCCAGGGGAGCAAACGGG
rnacentral:rRNA from 1 species